rnacentral:rRNA from 1 species
CUGCUGCCUUCCGUAGGAGUUUGGGCCGUGUCUCAGUCCCAAUGUGGCCGUCCACCCUCUCAGGCCGGCUACUGAUCGCUGCCUUGGUGGGCCGUUACCCCGCCAACUAGCUAAUCAGACGCGGAUCCAUCGUAUACCACCGGAGUUUUUCACACUGCCCCAUGCGGAGCCGUGCGCUUAUGCGGUAUUAGCACCUAUUUCUAAGUGUUAUCCCCCGGUAUACGGCAGGUUAUCCACGCGUUACUCACCCGUCCGCCAA